rnacentral:pre_miRNA from 1 species
UUUCUACUCCCUCCGUCCGGAAAUACUUGUCAUCAAAAUGAAUAAAAGGGGAUGUAUCUAGAUGUAUUUUAGUUCUAGAUACAUCCCUUUUUGUCCAUUUUGAUGACAAGUAUUUUCGGAUGGAGUGAGUACGUG